rnacentral:tRNA from 1 species
UGCCCUCGGGGGCGUCGUCGGCCAGGACGUCCUUGGCCUGGUGGGCCGAGACAUCAACGAGCGUGAUCGUCUCCCCGUUGGAGGCGGCCA